rnacentral:misc_RNA from 1 species
UGUGGAUGUGUCGUGUAGAAUUGGUGUACCAUUAAAUUUUCUCUUCUUUAGCAAGCUUCAAGAAUUUUUAAGUUUUGCUUAGUGUUUUUACUUUUUGCAACUACAACCUGAUUGAUAAUCCCAUAGCUGACAAAAUGGCAUGGUGAAGUUUUUGUUGAUCUAGUUGAUUAUUUCUCUUGUGAACUAUCUUAGCUGUGCAUGCUAAUACUUUGUACAAAUAAAAUGCACAGCCGCACACACAUAAAGAAAAAAGAGAAGGCAUGAUCAAGCAUUAAUUUCACUGUAUUUUUCAAUUAUUCUCGUUGAUCAUGCCUUCUUUUUCUGAAUAUGAAUGCGAAAUUUGUUUUAACUGGGCUAAAUGGUGAAAAAAGACCCAUAUAAUUGACCCCAACUAAUUUGGAAUUCAGGCUUAAUUUUUAACUUAUUAUCGUUGCUAUUGUUUUAAUUAUUCAAGAAGCUGUAGGAAUGGGAAUUUCUCUUAACUAUGGUAAUA